ACGGACGCUAGAGCGGGGCGGGACUGGAGAGCUGUGAGGGUGGAUCUGGUGGCUCCGCCGCUGGAGCGCUUCGCUUACGCUCUGCUGGGAUGGACGGGGUCCACGUUGUUUGAAAGAGACCUGAGACGAUUCGCCAGACUGGAGCGAGGACAACUGCUGGACAAUCACGUGCUGUACGACAAAGCUACGAAUACCUUCUUGCCUGCUAACACGGAAGAGGACAUCUUCGCCCAUUUGGGUUUAGAGUAUAUUGAACCUUGGCAAAGAAAUGCCUAGUUUCAGUCUCUGCUCUGUGAAGCCUGCUGAUGUCCUGGACAGAUUCAACACCCUCGACAUGACGCUGACGCUGAUUCACACUCAAAUAUCCGCAGCAUGAUUUCACCACCCAGCGUGAGCAUUAUUGAUAGUUCAUGGAGUUCUGUUUUCUUUCUCAAAUACACAUACA